rnacentral:rRNA from 1 species
AAUUUCGAAGCAACGCGAAGAACCUUACCAGGUCUUGACAUCUAGUGCCAACCUAAGAGAUUUAGGCGUUCCCUUCGGGGACACUAAGACAGGUGGUGCAUGGCUGUCGUCAGCUCGUGUCGUGAGAUGUUGGGUUAAGUCCCGCAACGAGCGCAACCCUUAUUAUUAGUUGCCAGCAUUAAGUUGGGCACUCUAAUGAGACUGCCGGUGACAAACCGGAGGAAGGUGGGGAUGACGUCAAGUCAUCAUGCCCCUUAUGACCUGGGCUACACACGUGCUACAAUGGGCAGUACAACGAGGAGCGAACUUGUGAAGGCAAGCGAAUCUCUGAAAGCUGUUCUCAGUUCGGACUGUAGGCUGCAACUCGCCUACACGAAGCUGGAAUCGCUAGUAAUCGCGGAUCAGCACGCCGCGGUGAAUACGUUCCCGGGCCUUGUACACACCGCCCGUCACACCAUGAGAGUUUGUAACACCCAAAGCCGGCCGGAUAACCUAGUUUACUAGGAGUCAGCCGUCUAAGGUGGGACAAAUGAAUUAGGG